UUGUUUAUUUAGGUCUACAUGUAUGUGAGAUAGCUGAGAAGUAUGAUGUUGCUUCAUAUUAUCCAAGGAAUCCAGGGAACAUAUGCUGCACCCCCAAGAAUUUCUUCUAAUCUGAUCCAUACGGCCGGACUCUGUCCUCUCCUACAAGCAUUGGUAGCAGCUAUGUGGGUUCAUUGAUACAUGAGUCUUUUAUCUUAAACUGCCUCCUUGCUAAGCUCAGCUAUCUGAAUUGCGUACUGUUGCUCCACACUCCCCAACUAUACCUGUAUCUGAAUACUAGCUGUGCAUUGGGAGCAGCACAACAGCGGCAGAUGAUUUAAGUAUUAUUUAGUGAGGUAAGAUUUUGUAAGCAAGACAUUAGGAUUUUGUUUUUCUUAGUAAAUGUUAGGUUAGGUGAAUUUUGGCAGUAAUGCAUAGGCUAGAUGAGUGCAGCGCCGAGCUAUUUUCACACGUCAGAUACUAUAGUUCAUACUAUUGAAUUAUGGUAUAAUUGGAAUGAUAUAAUGGUUGUGUCAAUUAUUUUCAAGAGUGCACCAAAGGGCUGC